rnacentral:rRNA from 1 species
AGUGAACGCUGGCGGUAGGCCCAACACAUGCAAGUCGAACGGCAGCACAGUAAGAGCUUGCUCUUACGGGUGGCGAGUGGCGGACGGGUGAGGAAUACAUCGGAAUCUACUUUUUCGUGGGGGAUAACGUAGGGAAACUUACGCUAAUACCGCAUACGACCUACGGGUGAAAGCAGGGGAUCUUCGGACCUUGCGCGAUUGAAUGAGCCGAUGUCGGAUUAGCUAGUUGGCGGGGUAAAGGCCCACCAAGGCGACGAUCCGUAACUGGUCUGAGAGGAUGAUCAGCCACACUGGAACUGAGACACGGUCCAGACUCCUACGGGAGGCAGCAGUGGGGAAUAUUGGACAAUGGGCGCAAGCCUGAUCCAGCCAUACCGCGUGGGUGAAGAAGGCCUUCGGGUUGUAAAGCCCUUUUGUUGGGAAAGAAAAGCAGCAGGUUAAUACCCCGCUGUUCUGACGGUACCCAAAGAAUAAGCACCGGCUAACUUCGUG